rnacentral:rRNA from 1 species
CCCUAGUAACUGCGAGUGAAGCGGGAAAAGCUCAAAUUUAAAAUCUGGCGGUCUUUGGCUGUCCGAGUUGUAAUCUAGAGAAGUGUUAUCCGCGCUGGACCGUGUACAAGUCUCCUGGAAUGGAGCGUCAUAGAGGGUGAGAAUCCCGUCUUUGACACGGACUGCCAGGGCUUUGUGAUGCGCUCUCAAAGAGUCGAGUUGUUUGGGAAUGCAGCUCAAAAUGGGUGGUAAAUUCCAUCUAAAGCUAAAUAUUGGCGAGAGACCGAUAGCGAACAAGUACCGUGAGGGAAAGAUGAAAAGAACUUUGGAAAGAGAGUUAAACAGUACGUGAAAUUGCUGAAAGGGAAACGCUUGAAGUCAGUCGCGUUGUCCGGGGAUCAACCUUGCUUUUGCUGGGCGUACUUUCCGGUUGACGGGUCAGCAUCAAUUUUGACCGUUGGAUAAAGUCUAGGGGAAUGUGGCAUCUUCGGAUGUGUUAUAGCCCUUGGUCGCAUACAACGAUUGGGAUUGAGGAACUCAGCACGCCGCAAGGCCGGGUAUUUUACCACGUUCGUGCUUAGGAUGCUGGCAUAAUGGCUUUAAUCGACCCGUCUUGAAACACGGACCAAGGAGUCUAACAUGCCUGCGAGUGUUUGGGUGGAAAACCCGAGCGCGUAAUGAAAGUGAAAGUUGAGAUCCCUGUCGUGGGGAGCAUCGACGCCCGGACCAGACCUUUUGUGACGGAUCCGCGGUAGAGCAUGUAUGUUGGGACCC